rnacentral:lncRNA from 1 species
AAAAAACCCCAAAUCCUACAUCGUCUUUUCUUCCCUCCUAAUUACACUCUCCGGCGAUUUUUCAAUCCAACCUCCGGCGACGUGGCGAGGAGUUCCUCCGGUGACAGAAGCGACUUUCCUCUGGUGAGUUUUAUUUACCUUUGGCCGUAGACUUUCCUCUGGCCGUGUUCUUAUUAUCUAAAUUUACUCUACUGUCAAGUAUCUCAUAACUCAAGUCAUUAUUUCUAACACAAUCUCUUACCCAACUCACAAGAUCACCAUCACAUUCACUUCCUUCUAAUUGUUGUACAGAUUUUCUCCCUGUCACCAGUUCUAGCAAAACAACUCCGUAGCUAUAGAUAUCACUUUUCUCUGUUACCUUCAUUGUAUUUGCAUAUUCUGCAGGGAAAGAAAUCACAAAAACAAAACAAAAGGUGUUAUUAUAAUUGCAAAUUUGCAUAUUCCAAUCUCAUUUCCCUCCAUUUCAUUUCCCCUAAUCUUGUUUCCCCCCAUUUCAUUUUCCCCAAUCUCAUUUCCUCCAAUAUUUUUCCCUGGCUUCAAUAUUACAACAUCGUUUCUUUCCCAUUCUUUCAGCCUAACCUUCCACAACCCUCAAUAAUCCAUCACUUCCAUGAUCGUGACCUAACCUUCCACAACAUUUAUGGACUGAGACAACAUAUUCCAGAAACGCUAAGUAAUACAUCAAUUUGAUUCUUCUUUGGUUUUCUAUAUUCUUCUUUUUCAUUUAGGCUUUUCAUUUUCUAUUUUUCCUCUUUUAUUCCUUAAUCUUCCUCUCUUCCUCUUACAUUCUCUUCUUUUUCCAUUUUAUUCUUCAUCGUUUCAUCUUUCUCUUUUUCUCAUUCUUGUUCAAGAUUUUCUGCUUUAAAACCUAGAUAUUGAAAAUUAAUUUUAGGGUUUGUCAUUCUUUUUAAUACUGUUUCGUUUUUGAUGCAACAAGUUUUUUUAAUACUGUCAUUCUUUUUAAUACUGUCAUUCUUGUUCAAGUUUUUUUAUUGAAUUUGUUGGUAUAAAAUCUACUUCAAAAAGGAAUUGGUUCUAUCGAAUGUUUUGUAAGUCUAAUGUUUAAAACAAUAAAUAAAGAAUUUGGAUAUAAAGUAAAUAGAUCAUGUGUCACAACAUCUUAUCAUUUGAAUCUGUUAUCUUUAUCUUUUAAAUGGCCAAGUGUUAAAAAACUGUAAUUUGGGUAUAAGGAAUUUCCAAUGUUCUUCAACACCUGUCCGCCAUGUGCCAUGACAUCUUAUGUGAAUUCAUUAUCUUUUCAUUUUAGAUGACCAACUGUCAAAAAUCUGUAAUUUGUAAAAUAAUUUAUACGUAUUUUGUAAAUAUUAUAAUUGCUUAUGUAGGUAUUUACAUCUAUUUUUAAGGUUACGUUAUAUAUGAAAUAUAUUUUAUCAAUUUUGGUAUUCUAUUUAGCAUUAUGUUUUGCUUGUAUAUAUAAAUCUUAAAUGUUUUGCUGAUUUUUUUCUUUUAAAAUUUUAAAUGUUGUUCGAUUAUUAUUUUUUCAUUUUCAGAUUGAUUAGAAGAAUAAUAUAAAAAGCAAAGAAGGUAUCUUGUCAUUUAUUUAAUUUUAAGAUUUUAAAUCUAGGUUCUCAAAAUAACUUUGAUUUUAGAAAUGUCCAUACUCAAUAAUUCAUUCUCUGCACACUUGGAUCUCCUUUCUGUAUUUUUUUACAUAUUUGGGCAUUAUUUUGCUGAUUUGCUUGUAUUUUUUUUUCAUAUUUGGGGUUUUCAUUUUUAUUAGCAUUAUGUUGUUGUUGCUGAUUUGCUUCUGAAUUCCUUGUUCUUCAUUGUUCUUCCUGAUUCUCUAUCAAUGUUUUCUAAAUUUCCUAUCUCUUAUGUCACACAAGUAGCACUUUACAAUGAAAAUCGUGUGAUCAAUUUUGAUCAUAGCAUUGGACUUUAUCUAUGUUUUCAAAUUUUUAUAUACUGUGAUUUGAUACACAAUGAAUUUCUCCGGGAGUUAGUCUGGCUUUGUCAAAUUAGAAUAUUGAAUGUUGAUAUUGAGAACUUGAAGAGACUACCCAAUUUCUAAAUUAGAACAAGGAUAUAGUAGAAUUGAGAACACUUAAACUAAAACAAAUGGACUUCAUAUUUGAUCAAAAUUCAGUUCAAAACAAAUGGAGAAUUUUGUUAGUUCAGUUGGUUUCACGAAUCAUUAUAGUUCAAAAUUCAAACGUCACUAUGUGCUCAGUGACUUCAUAUCUAGGUUGAUUUUUUUAAAUCACUUGUUGGUUUACCCUUUCUUACUGUUCCAUUGUCGGUGGUGAAGGGGUUUCUCAUGCAUACUUUAAAAAAAUUAACACUAUAAAAUAGAAAUAACCUACUGUGAAUGAUUUCCAUCCAUAUUUUAUAGCAUAUUUUUUGUUUGUGUGUUUUGCAUUUCAAUUUUGUAAUUUGUAAAAUCAAUUGGCAAAAUGAUUAAAUCUCUUUUACUUUGUUAUUUUCAAGCUUGCAACUAUUUCCUUGGAAUUUCAGUUGCAUCUGUAAGUAGCUUCAUUGGUUGAUUAAAAACGUGUUUAAUUGAAUUAUUUGAUCAAAUGGGCAUUGUUAAAAGGAGCAUUUUCAUCUCUGAACUCCAUGGGAAAAAGCAAAAGCAGGAAAUACCCCAUAGAAAUGAUUUUAUGAAUAUCAUUUUUACUAAAUUAUUCAUUCGUUCUAAAAUCAAAUUUUUAAAUGAAUGAAACUACCUAAAAUCGCUUGUAUACUAUAUCCAAGUGCCAAUGUUCAAUUGAAGCAUCAACUAAAUUACUAAAUGAAUUAUUGUAACUAUGUUCUUCUUUUAAUAUGGAUACAGGUCUACAAAGAUAUUUUUCCAAACAAGGACCAUCCUAACAUUAUCGAGGACUAGAUAAACAUCUUGAGGUAUAACUUAAACCUAGCAAUGGUAUAAUUUUAUGAAUAUAUAUGCUUCAUCAAUUUAAAUUCGAUUAUUAUUGUCAGAAUAUCAGUAAUAUUUUCCAUUAAAGAAUUCUGAUGCUAAAAUAAAGUAAAAUUCUUAUUUGACCCAAUUCUCUAUUUCUAUUUUUAUGAAUGAAUAUCACGAUUGAUGUUAUUCUGAUUUGAUUAUGUUAUCAUUCAAACAUGCAUUACAUCAUCUAUUUACUGAUAAGCCCUAGCUGAGCCUGACAAGCCCUAGCUGAGCCGAGCCAAGUUGAGCCUGACAAGCCCUAGCUGAGCCGAGCUGAGCUGAGCCGAGCCGAGCCAAGCUGAGCUUGACAAGCCCUAGCUGAGCCGAGCUGAGCCGAGCCAAGCUGAGCCUGACAAGCCCUAGCUGAGCCGAGCUGAGCCUAGCCAAGCUGAGCCCGAGCCGAGCCUUUCUUAUUAUGAUUUAUUUUUUUAUUAUGAUUCAGAUGACGAUAGCGAAGAUGAAAAUUUAUCGUCUCAAGGUUCAACUACAUUUCAUACGAAGCCUCUGUUUAAAAACGAUCAUAUUGGACCUUGGCUGAAAGCAUCAAAGGGAAAGAAAAAUGGGCGCAUUCUGGGAUUUAGAGUUGGCAAUGACUCUAUGUUAUCAAAUAAGAGAAGAAAGAAAAUGAGCAAUGAGGAAACUGAGAAGCACAACACUGAAGAAUUUGAAUUGACAGUUUCCAAAGCCGUUGAAAAACGAAUGGAAGCGUUCGAAAUAGAAAACGAAAAACGAUUUAAAAUGAUGGAACAACGGUUAAUUGACAAUAUACAUGUGAGUUUAAUAAAUGUUUUUAAAUUAGUUUUUAAAUUUAUUAAUUUUUGAAUAUCUUCAUUUAUUUUCAGGCUAAUGCGACAAGCAACGACCCGAAUCGUCCAUCAUCGAGUAAUGUUCCUGUUUCUUCUCAGUUGAACCAACUUAUUCCAUUAUCGAGAAAUUAUUGGGAAGAAGAUACUAAUUUUGAAUUCGACACCUCGACCAAAAGGUAAGACUUUAGAUAUUUCCAAUAUUGUUCAACAAAAAAAAUUGUAAAACACUUACCUCUAUUGUAAUUGAAACACUUAACUCUAUUGUAAUUGUAAUCUCUAUUAUAACUCUAUUAUCUCUAAUAAACACUUAAUCUAAUUUAUGAUUCAUUUGCG